GAUGAACGCUAGCGGCAGGCCUAAUACAUGCAAGUCGAACGGUAAGGCCCUUUCGGGGGUACGACGAGUGGCGGACGGGUGCGUAACGCGUAUGCAACAUGCCUUCCAGCGGGGGAUAUACCAGGGAAACUUGGCGCAAUACCCCAUAGAAUUACGGGACCGCAUGGUCUUGUGAUUAAAACUCCGGUGCUGGGAGAUUGGCAUGCGUGACAUUAGCUAGUUGGCGGGGUAACGGCCCACCAAGGCGACGAUGUCUAGCUGGUCUGAGAGGAUGAUCAGCCACACUGGGACUGAGACACGGCCCAGACUCCUACGGGAGGCAGCAGUAGGGAAUAUUGGACAAUGGGGGGGAACCCCUGAUCCAGCCAUGCCGCGUGAGGGAAGAAGGUCCGAGGUGACCCCCUUGGACUGACGUUAUCGGGAGAG
rnacentral:rRNA from 1 species